ensembl:lncRNA
UACCUCUUGUAUGGUCGACACCCCCGUCUUCCAGUAGACCUUCUCUUUGGUCUCAUGGCAGAAAACAACACUGAGACACCACAUGGGUAUGCAGAAAGAUGGAAAGGGAAGAUGACAGAAGCAUACCGCAUUGCAAAUGCAAACAGUCAACAGUCAAGUUCCAAAGGCAAAGCAAACUAUGACAAAAGAUGCAAAGGAGUAAUGCUACAGGCAGGAGACCGAGUACUGGUACGAAACCUGAGUGAAAGGGGGGGCCCUGGCAAACUGAGACCCUACUGGGAGCAAACGGUCUACAUUGUGAGGGAGCAAGUGGGCGACAACCCCGUCUACAAAGUGAGUCCAGAGGCGGGAGGCCGUCCUGUUCGCACCUUGCACAGGAACUUGUUGUUACAAGUGAAUGACUUGCCAGUGGACAUUAUCCAAAGUCAGGCUACAAGACCACACAAGAGAAACAAGAAGUCCACCGGAAGACCAAUGACACCAGAGCCAAACCCUGACACAACUGACUCGGAAGAGGGUGAGCCAUUGUACUGGCUUGGUGUACCCAGAUACCCUCGAGGGGGCCAUUCUCCAGUCACACCAGUUCCAAGUGGAGUGCAACGGAGCUCCGGUCCAAGUGAACUAGGACAAGUCUUAAGGGCUCGUGUCCAACCUAGAAAAAAAAGUGCCAUGGUUCCGGAAGAGGAUCUAAUUGUGUUAAGAGACCCAGACCUACCUCAACUAAGUGACGAUCAGGAGAUGCCUCAGGUUCAAGAAGAAGUUGACGUCACUGAGUCCAGUCCUGAUCCAGUAGAGCUUCCUGACCCAGAGCCAGAACCCAGGGUGGAGCCAGGGGAUGACAUCCAUCCAGAGCCACCAUCUCAUCUUAGGCAGUCCAGCAGGCAGAGACGUCCCACCACAUUCUUCACCUACCCAUCCUUGGGUCAACCAGCCUAUCAGGCUCAUCCUGCGGUGAACACCAUCAACGUCCAACCUUCGCCAUAUCCUUCCCUCUACUACCCUCUUCUCUACUCCCAACCCCCCUACCCCUUUCCCCUCACCCUUAGCCCUUACUUACCUGUUUCAUAUGUUGUUCCUUGCUAUUGAAUCGAACAGAAAUCUCAGGAAGAAGAAUGCCUGAAGUCUAAGGACACCUGGGCAAGAGGAAUAUUCCAGGGACUUCUGUAAAGAGACUUUGUUAGUUUAGAGGGUUUUUUUUAUAAUUCAAGUUAAGUGUCAGGAGCCACUUUUGCUGUUGGGGAGCGUGUGGUGAACACAAAUGUGCUACCACAUUUUGGGAAAUUUUAUUAUUUUUAAGAAAAACAUAUGUCAGCAAUUAAGACAAUUAUUAUUUUACAUUCAUUACGUGUAGUCCAUAACAAUUGAGGAGAGUAAAAGUGAGAAAUAAUAAGCGGAACUGUUGACACUGUAGUCGUUCGCCCGCGGUUGCCUAGAGCGGACCAACUUCCUGUCCUCUCAGAUGCAAUUCGGGAAAAGACACGAGUGCUCCUGUGAUUCUUUCUCUGAGACUCUACCUUUAUUUUUACAGACUCGUUUUGGCAAGACGGGAUGUUACCUCAGCUUUAGAGCCACAGACACCUCUGGUAUCAUAACGCCUCCAUCAUUCAACAUCAAACUGGAUAAAUCUGACAACAGCUUCCCAUCUGACCUCUUCAAAGUUUUUGGUUAUUGACUUAUUUACUUAUUUUAUAUACAAUUUAAUGAAGGCAUGUAAAAUGAAUCCUUCAUACAGUUUCAUUUUGACUCUGUUGGAUUUCUAUGUUCAGCCUUCAGAUUAUGAUGAAUAAACUAAAUGUGGGACAAACACAGUGUUUGUGUGGGACAACAGCACAUUACCAAAGCAGGGAGGCUGUCAAAUAUCUUAUAUUUUAAUGCAAUGUUUUAAAUUCUCUUGCUAAGUCAAUACAACAGGAAGAAAAGGAGGCUAAACUUUGUUGUUAUGAUCUCACACAAUAGGCUGUAUUUUAUUCAGCUGUUCUGCCUGGUAACAGUCUUUGGGUUUCAGUAAUGAUGUGUCCAUAGAUCAACAUGCCUUUUUUAGCCAUUUCUGAAUAUUUUAGCAAUUUUUAGCCAAGUAUGACUUACAAAUAAUGUCACAUCACAUCAUAUUUUCCCUCAGUUUCUCAGAGUAUAUUGCUGCAUCAUUUUCUUUGUGUUCAUUUCCAUCAUAUUUACCAAAAUCUGCACAGCGUGUGACUUUUGUGACUUUCCCUGUGAGUCUCUGUGGGUAUAGAAUUAGACAGGCUCAACUUAAUUUAAGUAUAAGAAAUGUUUCCAUCCAGCUGCACUGACUAAAGCCAGACCUUAUGAAAGUGCAUGUCCUGCAGAGUCGGUCAAAAUGUGGGACAGGGGGACAUAAAAUGUUGUGCAGCUGCGCUUAAAGAGGGACAUCAGGUCACCCGAUACAGAUACAGGUUUCAUGGCCCAGUGUCCUCAUAAAUGCACAUAAUGUACAUGAUCCAAAGCAACACUUUUCCUCAGUUUCCUCUUACGUGAAAGUUUUCUUUCAUUAUCAGCUUUUCGUUAAUAUUAUUUGUAAGGAUUAAUAAAAAUAAUGGUUUUGCCUCAGCUCUGUUAUGAACUGAUUUCUACCUGUUAUAUUUUACAUGUUA